UGCCCACGUGGUGAAAUUGGUAGACACGCUACCUUGAGGGGGUAGUGUUCGCAAGGACGUGCUAGUUCGAAUCUAGUCGUGGGCACAA
rnacentral:tRNA from 1 species